CUGGAUUCUUCACUCCUCUCCUCGUCAGGCGGUCACGAAAUUCGCAGCAAGCAGGAUUAUACGAUAUGUGAGAUUCUUGCUGGUGCAGAUGGACAGCUUUGUAAUAGAGAAGUUGAAGGAAAGGCAGCUUGAUACCCUGGUUAAAACCUUUGAAGAUUUCACAAGACUUCAGGAAGCUACAUCUAGAGGCAGACUUUCUGUAGACUGGGCUACAUUUGCAAGAUGGAAAGGUGCAUUAAGAGCUGGGUGACAUGACUUCAG